rnacentral:rRNA from 1 species
ACUACCAUGCAGUCGAGCGAUGAACUUCUUCGGAAGUGGAUUAGCGGCGGACGGGUGAGUAACACGUGGGCAACCUGCCUCAUAGAGAGGGAUAGCCUUUCGAAAGGAAGAUUAAUACCUCAUAAGAUUGUAGCUUCGCAUGAAGUAGCAAUAAAAGGAGCAAUCCGCUAUGAGAUGGGCCCGCGUCGCAUUAGCUAGUUGGUAAGGUAAUGGCUUACCAAGGCGACGAUGCGUAGCCGACCUGAGAGGGUGAUCGGCCACAUUGGGACUGAGACACGGCCCAGACUCCUACGGGAGGCAGCAGUGGGGAAUAUUGCACAAUGGGGGAAACCCUGAUGCAGCAACGCCGCGUGAGUGAUGAAGGUCUUCGGAUUGUAAAACUCUGUCUUUGGGGACGAUAAUGACGGUACCCAAGGAGGAAGCCACGGCUAACUACGUGCCAGCAGCCGCGGUAAUACGUAGGUGGCAAGCGUUGUCCGGAUUUACUGGUCGUAAAGGGAGCGUAGGUGGAUAUUUAAGUGGGAUGUGAAAUACUCGGGCUUAACCUGAGUGCUGCAUUCCAAACUGGAUAUCUAGAGUGCAGGAGAGGAAAGUGGAAUUCCUAGUGUAGCGGUGAAAUGCGUAGAUAUUAGGAAGAACACCAGUGGCGAAGGCGACUUUCUGGACUGUAACUGACACUGAGGCUCGAAAGCGUGGGGAGCGAACAGGAUUAGAUACCCUGGUAGUCCACGCCGUAAA